GGGUGCGAUCAUACCAGCGUUAAUGCACCGGAUCCCAUCAGAACUCCGCAGUUAAGUGCGUUUGGGCUAGAGUAGUACUGGGAUGGGUGUCCUCCCGGGAAGUCCUUGUGUUGCACCCU
rnacentral:rRNA from 1 species